GUGAUCCUCCUGCCUUGGCCUCCUAAAGUGCUGGGUUUACAGGUGAAAGCCACUGCACCUGGCUUUCAUUGCAUUUUUACAAGGGAGAUAAUGCAACAUCUGUCUCUGCUCAUAAAUGAGUCACUUUCCUAAAAUAUGGAAUUCUUUUCUAAGCUGAACUCUGCUUCUAUUUCUCACAACCAUUAAAGAAUAAUUAGCAUUAACUCCUUUGAGUCUUCUGGUUUUAAACACCUCAAGGACCCUCAUUACAAGCAAGAUGCAUUUCCAAACCCUCCACCCAAAUCUCUUAAUUCCAAAACAAAGAUCCAAAAAAUUGAAAAAUGUGGGGAAGCGAGAGUCAAGUUGUAAGCCUGGUAUGUCUUUUUCCUUUUAUAGGUAUGGCAGAGCCUGGCUAGUUGUUCACCAAGCCUGUGUCGCCUUCCUCCUGGUUCAGAGCUAGACUACAUUUCCCAGUCUCCUUGCAGUUGGUAUGGUUACGUGAUGAAGUUUUGGCCAGAAGAAUGUGGGUAAAAGUAGUAUGUGCAACUUCCCAGCCUGCCCUCCUCGCCAAACCUCCCACAUGUGGUCCUCCAUGCACUUUCCUCUUUGGCAACAACCUUGGAAAUCCCUUCUUGAAGAUACAAGCCACAAGAUGGAAGGAGCCUGGAUCCCUAAGUCACUACCUGGAGGGCUGCCUGUGGAUCAGAAACACCUGUGAUGAGGAAAUUGACGCUGAAUGGUUAAGAAACUACUGGUCACACAGCCGGGAAAUGAUGGACCUCCGAGUUGAACUCCAGCAGAUUUGACUUUGAACCUUGAGCUGCAAUUUGUUACAUGGACAAAAGACUCAGUUGGUGCCUGUGGGCUACAGGGUCCUCCGAUUCAGGGGCCCUUAAACAUCAGAAUGGUGGGGCUUAGAUUAGGCAGAACCCUCUGACUCUUGUCUUCUGGCCUUAUCUGAUUAUCUCGGGUGCCAUAUAAACAUUAUCCUUUUUCACUGUUCCUGAUGUGAGGACUGCCGAUGGAAUUCUUGCUCAAUUUCCCCGAGGAGUGUUGGGAAACCACUUAAAAACAAAAAACCCUGAAAUGGAAUAGUGUCUUAACCAGAACGCAAAAAUACAUCCUCAAUUUAAGACCCUUCAUACUGAGCCUUUAAAAAUGGGGUUCCCUACUAAGCCAUACCUCAUUUUACUGUGCUUCACAGAUAUUAAGGUGUUUUUCUUUUUUACAAAUUGAAGGUUUGUGCCAACCCUGCACUGAGCAGGUCUAUUGGUGAAGCUUUUCCAACAGCAUGUGUUCACUUUGUAUCUCUGUUACCUUUUGGUAAUUUCCACAAUAUUUCAGGCUUUUUCAUUAUUAAAAUACGUUUUGGGGAUCUUGCUGUUACUGUUGCAAGUAACUGUUAUGGGGUGCCAUAAAUCAUGCCCUUUUAAGAUGGUGAAUCGAUACAUGUUAUGUGUUCUGACAGCUCCACUAACUGGCUAUUCCUGUUUCUCUCCCCCUCUUCUGGCCUCCCAAUUCCCUGAGACACAACAAUAUUGAAAUGAGGCCAAUUAAUAACCCUACAAUGGCCUCUAAGCGUACAAGUGAAAGGAAGAGUCGCAUAUUUCUCAUGUAAAAUCAAAAGCUAGAAAUGAUUAUGCUUAGUGAAGGAGGCACAUCAAAGCCAAGACAGGCCAAAAGCCAUGCCUCUUGCAUCUAACAGCCAAGUUGUAAAUACAAAAGAAAAGCUCUUGAAGGAAAUUGGAAGUGCUAUUCCAGUGAAAAUGUGAAUGGUAAGAAAGCAAACAGCCUGGCCAGGCGCGGUGGGUCACGCCCGUAAUCCCAGCACUUUGGGAGGCCGAGGUGGGCGGAUCACGAGGUCAGGAGAUCGAGACCAUCCUGGCUAACACAGUGAAACCCCGUCUCUACUAAAAAUACAAAAAAGUGUAUGCCUGGCUAGGCAUGGUGGCAGGUGCCUGUAGUCCCAGCUACUUGGGGGGCUGAGGCAGGAAAAUGGCGUGAACCCAGGAGGUGGAGCUUGCAGUGAGCUGAGAUCACGCCACUGCACUCUCCAGCCUGGGCGAAAGAGCGAGACUCUGUCUCAAACAAAAACAAAAACAAAAAAGCAAACAGCCUUAUUGCUGAUGUAGAGAAAGCUGAGUGGUCUGGAUAGAUCAAACCAGCCACAGUACCUUAUGCGAAAGCCCAAUCUAGAACAAGGCUUUAACCCUCUUUUAUUCUGUAAAGGCUGAGAGAGGUGAGAAAGCUAUAGAAGAAAAGUUUGAAACUAGCAAGGGUUUGGUCCAUGACGUUUAAGGAAAAAGCUGUCUCCAUAAGAAAAAAGUGCAAGGUGAAGCAGCAAGUGCUAAUGUAGAAGCUGCAGCAAGUUUAUCCAGAAGAUCUGGCUAAGAUCAUUGAUGAAGGUGGCUACACUAAGAACAGAUUUUCAAUGGAGACAAAAUAGCCUGCUAUUCAAGGAAGAUGCCAUCUAGGACUUCAUAGCUAUAAAGGAGAAGUCAAUGCCUAGUUUCAAAGAACAGGCUGAUUCUCUUGUUAGGAGCUAAUGCAAGCUGAUGACUUUCAGUGGAAGCCAAUGCUCAUUUACCAUUCUGAAAAUCCCAGGGCCUUUAAGAAUUAUGCUAAAUAUACUCUGCCUGUGUAUUAGAAAUGGAACAACGAAGUUUGGAUGACAGCACGUCUGUUUAUAGCAUGGUUCACUAAAUAUUUAAAGCCUCCUGUUGAGACCUACUUCUCAGGAAGGAAGAUUCCUUUCAAAAUAUUCCUGCUCAUUCUGCAGCCCAUGGAUCAAGGAGUAAUUUUGACUUUCAAGUCUUAUUAUUUAAGAAAUACAUUUUGUAAGGCCGUAGCUGCAAUAGCCUCUGAUGGAUCUGGGUAAAGUAAAUGGAAAACCUUCUAAAAAGGAUUCACUAUUCUAGAUGGCAUUAACAACAUUCAUGAUUCAUAGGAGAUCAAAAUAUCAACAUUAACAGAAGUUUGGAGUUAGUUGAUUCCAACCCUCAUGAUGGCUUUGAGGGGUUUAAGACUUCGGGGGUGGAAAUAACUGCAGAUGUGGUGGAAACGGCAAGAGAACUAGAAUUAGAAGUGGAACCUGGGCUGGGUGUGGUGGCUAAUGCCUGUAAUCCCAGCACUUUGGGAGGCCGAGGUGGACGGAUCACGAGGUCAGGAGAUGGAGAUCAUCCUGGCUAACACAGUGAAACCCUGUCUCUACUAAAAAAUACAGAAAACUAGCAGGCGUGGUGGCGGGCACCUGUAGUCCCAGCUACUAGGGAGGCUGAGGCAGGAGAACGGUGUGAACCCGGGAGGCGGAGCUUGCAGUGAGCUGAGAUCGGGCCACUGCACUCCAGCCUGGGCCACAGGCAAGACUCCAUCUCAAAAAAAAAAAAAAAAAAAGGUGGGGCCUGAAGAUGGGAUGGAAUUGCUGGAAUCUCAUGAUAAAAUGUCAAUGGAUAAGGAAUUACUUCUUAUGGAUGAGCAAAGAAACUGGCUUCUUGAGAUGAAAUCUACUCCCAGUGAAGAUGCUGUGAACAUUGUUGACCACAAAAAGAUUUAGAAUACUAUGCAAACUAAGUUAAUAAAGCAACAGCAAGGUUUGAGAGGAUUGAUUCCCAUUUUGAAAGAAAUUCUGUUGUGGGUAAAAUCCCAUAAAAUAGCAUCACAUGCUCCAGAAAAAUCUUUCUUCAAAGGAAGAGUCUAUCAAUGUGGCAAACUUCGUUCUUGUUUUAAGAAAUUGCCACAGCCACCCCAGCCUUCAGCAAUCAUCACCUUUAUCAGUCAGCAACCAUCAAUAUCAAGGCAAGACACUCCAUAGUGAGAAGAUUAUGACCCACUGAAGGCUCGGAUGAUUGUUAGCAUUUUCCAGUCAUAUUUUAACUAAGGUACAUACAUUUUUUAAAGAUAUACUAUUGCACAUCUAUUAGACUAUCAGUAUAGUGUAAAUAUAACUUUUAUAUGCACUGAGAAAAAAUUUAUGUGACUACCUAUAUUGUGAUAUGCUUUAUUUAUUGCAGUGGUCUGGAACUGAACCUGCAGUGUCUCUGAGGACCCUGCAGUGCCUGGCACUCAGCAGCUGUUCACUAUAUGUGUGGGACUGACCAACAAGUAAGGAAGUGGAAGGAAGAACAACAACAAAAAAGAGCUCUAACAUUUUUUACUAACUGGUAUCACUAUUUCCCUGGCAUGCUUGAUAACAAAGACUUUAAAUUUUCUCAGCCUUAAAAAAAAAAGCACAAGACACCAACAUAUGUUAUAUAUAAAUACACAAAAAGCAACCAAACCCAAUUACAUGCAUCACAGGAAGAUCGUAAAAAAAAAUUACACUCAUCAUAUUCGAGGAGAAAUGCUGGCUCAAGUGAACAUCUCCCCUACUGAGAUUUCUUUCUGUUUGAGCUUAAGCUAGCCAUAAACAAACUUGAGUAGUAUUCAAAAAUAUCAUUAAAGAGUUUCUUGGAAUGGCGAUAUAGUCUGUGAAUUUGAAAUCUACCAAGGAAAGAGAUAAUCAGAGCAUCCUAGCAACCAGAAGAAAGAACAGCAUGAAGAUGGAAGCAGGCAGCAAGAUGCAUAUCAACAAAUCUGCCCCGUCGCCCAGAGGCAAUCAAUGCAAAUAUUCUAUACACUUUCUUCUCGGUUUUUACCUAUGCCAUUCUAGGAAGAACUUGGGAGAAAAUCUAUGUAAGCCUGAAUCCCCUUAGCCUAUAUAGCUGUGUAGUUCUUUCCUUCCCAUAGUGUUAAACUUGACUAGGAUAUAGUCCUUGGUUAUUCAGAUACUGUAUCUAGGUGUUGCUUUGAAGGCAUUUUGUGGAUGUGAUUACAAUUCAGUUUUUUUUUUAAAUUUUUUUGAGACAGGAUCUCACUCUGUUGCCUAGGCUGGAGCGCAGUGGUACUAUCUUGGCUCACUGCAACGUCUGCCUCCUGGGAACUACAGGUACAUGCCACCACGCCUGGCUAAUUUGUUUGUAGAGACGGGGUUUCAUUAUGUUGCACGGUUGGUCUCAAACUCCUGAGCUCAAGUGAUCCACCUGCCUUGGCCUUCCAAAGUGCUGGGAUUGCAGGGGUUAGCCACUGUGCCCGGUCAGACUUUAAUCUGAGUGGGCUGAUUCAAUCAGUUUAAAGGCUUUAAGAGUAGAGUUGAGGCUUUCCUGAAGAAAUUUCACCUGUACCACUUCAGCCCCUGCUGGAGAAUUCCAGCUUGUCCUUUCUGAUGGCCCAUUUUACAGAUUUUUGGACUCACGUACCCAGCCCCCAUAAUUGUGUAAGCCAAUUCCUCGCAAUAAAACUCUUUAAUAUACCUGUAUCUAUCUACUACUGGUUCUGCUUCUUUGGUUGAAUCUUCACCAAUACACAUGGGAAAAGAAUACUAUGACUACUGUUCCCAAGAAAGUAGUGCCCUAGGAUACUGCAUUCUUUUUGGUGAUUAUAUUAUUAGACUAAGAAUGAUUAACAUGCCAGAUCCCAGACCUUCCCCUUAGAUCCUGAUAUGGUUUGGCUGUGUCUCCGCCAAAAUCUCACCUUGAAUUGUAAUAAUCCCCACAUGUGAAGGGUGAUAC